GGGCGCGUAGCUCAGGGGUAGAGCACCUGCCUUUUAAGCAGGGAGUCGUUGGUUCGAAUCCACCCGCGCUCACAA
rnacentral:tRNA from 1 species